AUCUUUUAGCUUAAAAUUUGAUUUUAUUGAAUAGUGAAGAAUGCUUGAAACGUUCUCAACCAUUGGUUGAUUAUUGAAGCAUUCCAAUUCCUUUAGAGCCAAGGAUCUAAGGCUCUCCGCUAUUUCCUCUUCUUGUCCACCAUGAUCACCAACCGUUGAUGUCACCAUCAUCCCAUGUAUCAUCCCCGCAUAGCGUCCAAACCGUCUCAGGCUCUCUAUUUCCUCUUUAGUAGCUCCCCCUAAGAUGGCCCCACACGCAGCUCCACAUGCGUAGAGCAA